rnacentral:misc_RNA from 2 species
AACUCUCAACCCCCUCAUUUUGUAAUGAAAUGAGUUGUGGGCUUGGUUUAUGGCUGUUGCCGGCUUAAGUGCCGACUCAGCUGAAAUACACGAGCAACCCAGUUUGAAUACUUGACGGCUUGACUCGGCGUAAUAAUUAUUAUCGCUGAGGACGUCUACCUUUCAAAUCGUUAGUGGUGCUUCUAAUGCUUCAUCUAGAACUUUUAAGC